GACGAACGCUGGCGGCGUGCUUAACACAUGCAAGUCGAACGGAAAGGCCCUGCUUUUGUGGGGUUCUCGAGUGGCGAACGGGUGAGUAACACGUGAGUAACCUGCCCUUGACUUUGGGAUAACUUCAGGAAACUGGGGCUCAUACCGGAUAGGAGCUCCUGCUGCAUGGUGGGGGUUGGUAAGUUUCGGCGGUUGGGGAUGGACUCGCGGCUUAUCGGCUUGUUGGUGGGGUAGUGGCUUACCAAGGCUUUGACGGGUAGCCGGCCUGAGAGGGUGACCGGCCACAUUGGGACUGAGAUACGGCCCAGACUCCUACGGGAGGCAGCAGUGGGGAAUAUUGCAGAAUGGGCGGAAGCCUGAGGCAGCAACGCCGCGUGCGGGAUGACGGCCUUCGGGUGGUAAACCGCUGUCGCCUGUGACGAAGCGGGAGUGACGGUAAUGGGUAAAGAAGCACCGGCUAACUACGUG
rnacentral:rRNA from 1 species